rnacentral:rRNA from 1 species
UACGGAGGGUGCAAGCGUUAAUCGGAAUUACUGGGCGUAAAGCGCACGCAGGCGGUUGGAUAAGUUAGAUGUGAAAGCCCCGGGCUCAACCUGGGAAUUGCAUUUAAAACUGUCCGGCUAGAGUCCUGUAGAGGGGGGUAGAAGUCCAGGUGUAGCGGUGAAAUGCGUAGAGAUCUGGAGGAAUACCGGUGGCGAAGGCGGCCCCCUGGACAAAGACUGACGCUCAGGUGCGAAAGCGUGGGGAGCAAACAGG